rnacentral:rRNA from 1 species
UACGAAGGGGGCUAGCGUUGCUCGGAAUCACUGGGCGUCAAGCGCACGUAGGCGGAUUGCUAAGUCAGGGGUGAAAUCCUGGAGCUCAACUCCAGAACUGCCCUUGAUACUGGCGGUCUCGAGUCCGGGAGAGGUGAGUGGAACUGCGAGUGUAGAGGUGAAAUUCGUAGAUAUUCGCAAGAACACCAGUGGCGAAGGCGGCUCACUGGACCGGAACUGACGCUGAGGCGCGAAAGCGUGGGGAGCAAACGGG